UGGGGUGGAGGGGAGUGCUGAGUUCGGGGGUCCCACGGUGGCUGUGCUAUGUGUAAAGGGCUGAGCUGGGCGGAACCGUGGCUUUCUGCUUCUCUGCUCCGAGCAGUCGGGAUCUGCUAAGGGACGAAGGUCGUGGAGGGAGGAAAACUGGUUAAGGAUGGGAAUUUCUGCACCGAACAUCCAACAGAGAUGAGCAAGAGGAGGAAGAGAAGAAAACCACUGGCUUUUUCAGCGGGGGGGACCUCAUUUACUGGCAACCUUGUCUAAGGUCAGAGAAAACAAAUGUGUUUUUGCUUUGAGAAGUCUCUGCAGCAGAAGCUGCCUUGGGACACUGCUUGCUUUUCUUAAAAAAGCUGUGCACAAACAAACUUUGCAGCCAUGUGAUGCCUUUUGCUUUCGAUCAUGUUUCCCAGAUGAAGGAGGUCUCGGCCGUGAAGAGGGCCAUUUGUCCGGCACCGCUGUAUUGAUCCCUGCCCCGCAGUUACACAUGAGGAAUUUCCUUGCUUUUGAGAAUCGACUGAACUGAACUGGGCCACAUUUGUGAAGCCCCUUCUGCUGGAGAGCAAGUGCCUGGAGUGCUUUUUGUCUUCACUUGUCGAUUCAUAAGCAAAGGUCAUCAUUAUUUAA